AGAACAUUACAACACUUUUUAGUAGGUAAAAAAUUUGAAAAUAUUGACAUUCUCAAAAAUAGCUUAGAAAAUUAUUUUAAAGAAAAACAAGAGAACUUUUAUCGAGACGGAAUAAUGGCCCUACCAGAAAAAUGGGAAGAAGUUGUACAACGAGAGGGGGAUUACAUUUUUUCAUGAAACCGAAAGGUAUGUAAACAAUUUUAACAUAUAUAACCGCUCGAAAAACGGCACGAACUUACGGGAUGACCUAAUAUUUAACAAUUUGUACAGA